GUGCACCAGGCGCGAAACCUCCGCAAUGCGGGAAACCGCGACGGGGGACCCCGAGUGCCGUGGCAACGCCACGGCUUUUCCGGAGUGUAAAAAGCUCCGGGAAUAAGGGCUGGGCAAGGCCGGUGGCAGCCGCCGCGGUAAUACCGGCGGCCCGAGUGGUGGCCGCUAUUAUUGGGCCUAAAGCGUCCGUAGCCGGGCCCGUAAGUCCCUGGCGAAAUCCCACGGCUCAACCGUGGGGCUUGCUGGGGAUACUGCGGGUCUUGGGACCGGGAGAGGCGGGGGGUACCCCUGGGGUAGGGGUGAAAUCCUAUAAUCCCAGGGGGACCGCCAGUGGCGAAGGCGCCCCGCUGGAACGGGUCCGACGGUGAGGGACGAAGGCCAGGGGAGCAAACCGGAUUAGAUA
rnacentral:rRNA from 1 species